AUUGAACGCUGGCGGCAGGCCUAACACAUGCAAGUCGAACGAGUGGCGGACGGGUGAGUAAUGUCGGGGAAACUGCCCGAUGGAGGGGGAUAACUACUGGAAACGGUAGCUAAUACCGCAUAACCUCGGAUGUGCCCAGAUGGGAUUAGCUAGGAGGUGGGGUAACGGCUCACCUAGGCUACGGUCCCUAGCUGGUCUGAGAGGAUGACCAGCCACACUGGAAUUGAGACACGGUCCAGACUCCUAGGGGAGGAAGCAGUGGGGAAUAUUGCACAAGUGGCGCAAUCCUGCGACAGCCAUGCCGCGUGUAUGAAGAAGGCCUUCGGGUUGUAAAGUACUUUCAGCGAGAGGACGUUACUCGCAGAAGAAGCACCGGCUCACUCCGUGCCAGCGGCCGCGGUGAUUC
rnacentral:rRNA from 1 species